rnacentral:rRNA from 1 species
GAUGAACGCUAGCGGCAGGCUUAACACAUGCAAGUCGAGGGGUAUUGGUUUUCGGACCAAGAGACCGGCGCACGGGUGCGUAACGCGUAUGCAAUCUACCUUUUGCAGAGGGAUAGCCCAGAGAAAUUUGGAUUAAUACCUCAUAGUAUAGUACUUUGGCAUCAAGGAACUAUUAAAGUCACAACGGCAAAAGAUGAGCAUGCGUCCAUUAGCUAGUUGGUAAGGUAACGGCUUACCAAGGCUACGAUGGGUAGGGGUCCUGAGAGGGAGAUCCCCCACACUGGUACUGAGACACGGACCAGACUCCUACGGGAGGCAGCAGUGAGGAAUAUUGGACAAUGGGCGCAAGCCUGAUCCAGCCAUGCCGCGUGCAGGAAGACGGUCCUAUGGAUUGUAAACUGCUUUUAUACAGGAAGAAACCCUCCCACGUGUGGGAGCUUGACGGUACUGUAGGAAUAAGGAUCGGCUAACUCCGUACCAGCAGCCG